GAUGAACGCUGGCGGCGUGCCUAACACAUGCAAGUCGAACGAAAAGACGAGGAGCGUGCUCCUCUGACGUUAGCGGCGGACGGGUGAGUAACAAGUAGAUAACCAACUUAUAAUACUGGGAUGACUUCGGGAAAAAGAAGAUAAUACCGGAUAAUAUAUUGAACCGGAGGGUUCAAGAGUGAAAGACGGUUUUGCUGUCACUUAUAGAUGGAUCCGCGCUGCAUUAGCUAGUUGGUAAGGUAACGGCUUACCAAGGCAACGAUGCGUAGCCGACCUGAGAGGAUGAUCGGCCACACUGGAACUGAGACACGGUCCAGACUCCUACGGGAGGCAGCAGUAGGGAAUCUUCCGCAAAGGGCGAAAGCCUGACGCAGCAACGCCGCGUGUGUGAUGAAGGCCUUCGGAUCGUAAAGCCCUGUUAUUGGGGAAGAACAAAUGUGUAAGUAGACAUGGACGUCUUGACGGUACCUAAAGAAAAAGCACCGGCUAACUACGUG
rnacentral:rRNA from 1 species